rnacentral:rRNA from 1 species
UACGAAGGGGGCUAGCGUUGCUCGGAAUCACUGGGCGUAAAGGGUGCGUAGGCGGGUCUUUAAGUCAGACGUGAAAUCCCUCGGCUUAACCGGGGAACUGCAUCUGAUACUGGAUGGCUUGAGUUCGGGAGAGGGAUGCGGAAUUCCAGGUGUAGCGGUGAAAUGCGUAGAUAUCUGGAGGAACACCGGUGGCGAAGGCGGCAUCCUGGACCCGACGACUGACGCGUG